AACCGAGUCUGACCCCUUCACCGCCAUUGGCCGCCGCCCGAGACGACCCCGGAGCCCCCGCCCCACCCCCGGGGCCGCCAGGGGGUAGGUGGCCGACCCCCGGGAUGCCGGAGCGGUGUCCGGAGAGCUGGAGCCCCGAGCCUACCCCGUGGCGGAAACCCUACGAGUUGAAAGAGAUUCUGCCAACUUGGCUUUUCGUCCAAGCGAACCUGUCCGCCCCACCCUCCUUAAAGGUGGGUGGGUAUAAUGGACAACACCGAUGAAUGCGGGGCUGAUUUGGUGUAGAGGAGAAAUCAUUAAGUUUUGGAAUCGUCCAGGUCGGCCUCAGUUGCUUUGUUAUUUUGUGAUCUAGAAAGUUGCUAAAUCAUCAAGCAUCAGUUUUCUUCAUCGCUACAAUGGUCACGAGAAUGGUGCUUACCUGAGAGGCUUCUGAUCUUGAAUGUGGGAUUACUCUGAGUGGUGUCUCAUUCACCUCACUCAAGUCCCAGCCCGGGUGUGCAGAGAGCCAUUUGUGAGGUCAUUGGGGAAAACAUCCAUUAGGAAAAGAAUAAUUCUACUCAGACCAUUGUUCAACGUCUGCUUCAUGCAAGGCAGCUGACAAGGCAUGGCUGAGGAAAUGCGGAGAGACUGGCCCUUGCCCUUGCGGAACACAAGCAACUUAAAGAGGCACUAUCUUAAUAGAUAAUUUUAAUACAGUGAGACAGGAGUUAACACCAGAGGCUUGCCGUGAGCCCAGAGAGAGGACAGCGGAAGGCACAGCUCCCUGUUAGUACCUGUUCUGCAUGGCCACUUACGUAACUGUAGAUGGCAAAAUUAGGACUCAGAAAUAGUAAGUACUCUGGGCCAAAAUGAUUAACAAAUAAUGACUAUAUUCCUACAAGCUAUCUUACCCUGGCGAUUUUUUCUGUCAUACUACUGUGUGAGUAAAAUAAAGUUGCCAUCUAUUGGUUUAAUUGA